rnacentral:rRNA from 1 species
UACGGGGGGGGCACGCGUUGUUCGGAAUUACUGGGCGUAAAGGGCUCGUAGGCGGCCAACUAAGUCAGACGUGAAAUCCCUCGGCUUAACCGGGGAACUGCGUCUGAUACUGGAUGGCUCGAGUUUGGGAGAGGGAUGCGGAAUUCCAGGUGUAGCGGUGAAAUGCGUAGAUAUCUGGAGGAACACCGGUGGCGAAGGCGGCAUCCUGGACCAACACUGACGCUGAUGAGCGAAAGCCAGGGGAGCAAACGGG